UGGGGAAUUUUGGACAAUGGGCGCAAGCCUGAUCCAGCAAUGCCGCGUGCAGGAUGAAGGCCUUCGGGUUGUAAACUGCUUUUGUACGGAGCGAAAAGGUCUGCCCUAAUACGGUGGGCUCAUGACGGUACCGUAAGAAUAAGCACCGGCUAACUACGUGCCAGCAGCCGCGGUAAUACGUAGGGUGCAAGCGUUAAUCGGAAUUACUGGGCGUAAAGCGUGCGCAGGCGGUUAUAUAAGACAGAUGUGAAAUCCCCGGGCUCAACCUGGGACCUGCAUUUGUGACUGUAUAGCUAGAGUACGGUAGAGGGGGAUGGAAUUCCGCGUGUAGCAGUGAAAUGCGUAGAUAUGCGGAGGAACACCGAUGGCGAAGGCGGCUUUCUGGAUCAUAUCUGACGCUGAGGCGCGAAAGCGUGGGGAGCAAACA
rnacentral:rRNA from 1 species